AGUGAACGCUGGCGGCAGGCCUAACACAUGCAAGUCGAGCGGCAGCGCGGGGGCAACCCUGGCGGCGAGCGGCGGACGGGUGAGGAAUUCGUCGGAAUCUGCCUUUUUGUGGGGGAUAACGUAGGGAAACUUACGCUAAUACCGCAUACGUCCUACGGGUGAAAGUGGGGGACCGCAAGGCCUCACGCAGAAAGAUGAGCCGACUACCGAGUAGCCAGUUGGUGGGGUAAAGGCCCACCAAGGCGACGAUCGGUAGAUGGUCUGAGAGGAUGAUCGGCCACCCUGGGAGUGGAACACGGCCCAGACUCCUACGGGAGGCAGCAGUGGGGAAUAUUGGGCAGUGGGGGCAAGCCUGAUCCAGCCAUGCCGCGUGUGUGAAGAAGGCCUUCGGGUUGUAAAGCACGUUUGUCCGGAAAGAAAUCCCUGGAGCUAAUACCUUCGGGGGAUGACGGUACCGGAAGAAUAAGCACCGGCUAACUUCGUG
rnacentral:rRNA from 1 species